CCCCCUGUCCUCUCCCGGCCCGGUCCUUCUGUUCUCCGCCGUCCAGUCUUUCACCUCCGCCUCCUCCUCCAUCCACCCCGCUGCAUCCUCCGGAGCUGAGGCAGCGAGCAUCACCGCCGUCAAGGUGAAGCGCCUCCCCACACGACUUCCUGUCAGCGCUUUCAAAAUAACAAACGAGCCCUUUACGUUUUAAAUACUUCUGGAGCUUCUUAGCUCAUGCCUUGUCUCUCUACAAAGUUGCAUGGCUACAGGGUAGAUUGUCUCUGUCUUCAGAUGAUCCUGCACAGUCGCAGUAGGAAGUGAGAGGGAAGAAGGAAGCAGGUGCUAAUAAAAUGUCCCUGUCUCUCCUCUCCACAGGGAGUUCUGCAGACUCUUUACAGUGUUGGAACCGUCCAGUCUGCUCCACCAGGAACGAGGCUGUUUCCUCCGGUCCUGAGGAUGCAGAAGAAUAUGGUUGGACACGUGCAAUUGAUCAGCAAUUAUUUGUCUAGUUUAACUUUAAAAUCUGAACCAUUAUCUCACUGCUCACUCAAAUAAUUAGUAUGGAUCCAUCAAGCCUCAUCACACUAGAGUAUUCAUUCAGUUAAAUUGUAUUUUAUUUGUAUUGCUCCAAAUAACAACAAAUCAUUAUUAAAUAUGACCAUGAC